UAGAGGACGCAUUUCUAAUGAAUGGAUAAUAUCCGAAUACUUUUACUGCUAGCACCACCUGUUGACUGUCAGUCGUACUAAUGUUCACGCAGCCAUUUUGUGUAGGGAUAUCUACGAAUAUUCAGCAAAACGUAAAUAAUAAAUACCUACCAAUUAAAAAAAUAAUGUAACGUGUAUGUUAUACAUGUUAGCGAUCCAAAUUAAAUACAUUUUAUAAAUUGUUAACUUUAAAAAUACUUAUGAGUUUUGAAUUAUCCUUUAAGUUUAAAUUCGUAUUUUUAUUAUAUUUAUUAACGUCUUCAUUUGUCUCUGUUUAAGUUAUCACUUUCGCUUAUAAUGCUUUAAACAAAUCUUAUGCUGAAAAUCUGAAGUAAUAUUAUACACAAACAAAAUAAAACCAGAUUCCGAAGCUAAUGGAUGUAGGGACGCGUUAGUGGAUGCGAGUGUCGCAUCCCUAGAAAUCUCGAAUUAGUGGAUGCGUGAAGGGAUGCAUCGGCAUCCCUUGUGAGAAUUCGGAUUCAACACAAAGAUGGCUGCGUCCACUACGAUGCACUUUUAGUGGAUCCCUUAGCUAAGGGAUCCAUUAGGCCAGUAUUCGGAUACAGCUUGUCAGCCGCAUGAAAACGCCACCACCUCGCAGCAAUCCACUACCAAGGAUAUUCAUACAGUUGGAAAAAAGUUAAGAUUGGCAUAUCUAGGUGACUUCAAUGAGAAGAACCUGACUUCCCAGCAGAAGUAAGAAGUGCCUUGGUGCUGCAAAGGAAAUAAGAUUAAAAUACCAUAAGAAACUGAAACUCCUUCAUCAGCGGUGUAAACGAGCCACUGCAAAAAUAGUGAGCCUUCAGGCAGUUAUCUCGCAUCUGCAGGACAAGAAACUGAUGGGUGAUGUUGCUGCAGAUACACUACAGAAAUAUUUGCCACCUGCUGUUGCGGAUCUCAUCCAGCGAUGGAAGAAGGGGCCAACCAGAGAAGCCUAUCCUCCAGAGCUGAGGACGUUUGCUCUGACACUGAAUUUCUACUCGGUAAAUAUGUAGUUAAGCGGUAUUUGCGAAAAAAAAAUGUUAAAAAUCUGAAAAUACUUUUAUUGUAUGCUCUUCAACUUCCUCUUUUCAUUAAAAGCGGCGGAGAUAAGAAAUUCCAAAUACUUUAGGAGAUAUUGCCGUUCUUAUUUUGCUAUGCAAGACCUGUGUAAUCAUUCGACCAUCGCAAUUUUUUUAUUGCCAUGUGUUUGUGAAUGCCUAAUUAAUGAAAAUGGUUGAUUAGGUCAGGUCAGUUACAUUAUAAAUACUUUGAAACUAAGCGUACAUAAAAAAUAAUAUGAAUUAAUUUCAAUGGUUUUUUAGUUUUAAAGUAUUUAUAAUGUUACUUACCUGACCUAACAAACCGGGACAAAGGAUGAACAGUAACAACUCACGUAAAAUUAUUUUGUUACUUAUUACUUGCGCAACAAUAUCCAAAUAACAAAUAAAACUUUAAAAUUAGAAACGUUAAAAGCUCACCUAAGUUGGAGGCGGUAAUUAAACACUGUUUUAAACAAUAAAUGAACUAAAAAAUAACAUAUUGGUUCAUUUGAAUUCUGGCCUAUCACGAACAAUCACGUGACAUCAUUAUCCAAUAAAAAAAUAGAUACUCGUAAACAAGAAACAAUGUUGAAUGCCACAUGAAUGCACUGGUAUUGUGAUGAAAUUUAAAAAUUCGAUAUCUCCUAAAGUAUUUGGAAUUUCUUAUCUCCCCUGCUUUUAAUGAAAAUAGGAAGUUGAAGAGCAUAUAAUAAAGGUAUUUUCGGAUUUUUAACAUUUUUUUUUCGCAAAUACCGCUGAACUACAUAUGAUGAAAUUAAAAAAUAUAUCUCCUAAAGUAUUUGGAAUUUCUUACCUCAACCGCUUUUAAUGAAAAGAGGAAGUUAAAGAGCAUAUAAUGAAGGUAUUUUCUGAUUUUUUACAUUUUUUUUCUCGAAUACCGCUCAACUACAUAUUUACCUUCUACUCUCCUAAGGCGUACAAUUAUGUUAGAAAAAUGUUCAUGAAGUGUUUGCCACAUCCUGUUACACUGCAGAAGUGGUAUUCAACUGUUGAUGGAAAGCCAAGCUUCAGUACUGAGGCUUGUACAGCAUUGAAACUGAAGACAGCAGAAAAUGUUACUUGUGGUAAACCUACAUUAUGUUCUUUGAUGUUAGAUGAAAUGGCCAUACGUAAACAUAUAGAAUUUGAUGGUCAGAGUUUCAUUGGAUAUACUGACUUCGGUACAGGGUUGGAUGAUGAUUCCCUACCUGAAGCAAGGGAAGCAUUGGUGUUCAUGGCUGUUGCUCUAAAUGGUAGCUGGAAGAUCCCAGUAGGGUAUUUCUUGAUUGCUGGUCUGCUUGUAUAAUAGUCUACCUCAGCAUGUUAAAAAUAUCAAUAGUAAAAAAUAAUUUGCAAUAGAGUUAAAAAAAAAUAGCAGAAGAACUGUUUUUCUAUUCCUUCAAAGAUAUUGAAGACUAUGAAAAUAAAAAAUAAUAGUAAAUAUUUUAUAGGGUAAUUUCAAACCCACUUGUAAUUUAUGCUAUUACUAUCUUUAUUGCAUACUAAUUAUGUUAUAUAUGUU